rnacentral:rRNA from 1 species
UACGGAGGGUGCAAGCGUUUAUCCGGGAUUCACUGGGUUUAAAGGGUGCGUAGGUGGGCAGGUAAAGUCCGUGGUGAAAAUCUCUGAGCUUUAACUCAGAAACUGCCGUGGAUACUAUUUGUCUUGAAUGUUGUGGAGGUGAGCGGAAUAAUGUCAUGUAGCGGUGAAAUGCUUAGAUAUGACAUAGAACACCAAUUGCGAAGGCAGCUUACUGGGCUGUAACUGACGCUGAUGCACGAAAGUGUGGGAUCAAACAGG